rnacentral:sRNA from 1 species
CCUGCACCAAAUAAAAAUUCACUGAUAAAACAGUGAAUUGGGGAAUAAAAAGAGCCACCUUCGGGUGGCUUUUUUCUUGGUU